UAUGGCCACAUCAUGUUCAAACACCGGUUCCUGUACAAUCACCAAAGUUAAGCAAUGUCGAGCCUGGUCAAUACCUAGAUGGGUAAGCGCUUGAGAAUACAAAGUGCUGUAAG